CUUUAGAGUUAGUCCCAUAUAAUCCCUUCUUUCAUAAAGUUAAGACCCAAAGCUGAGAUUUGGUGAAGCCACGUCAUCAUUUAAUUAUCGACCGUUGGAUUACAUCUCAGUGGUCCUCAUUGCGUUUUGGAGCAUGCCCUCGGUCCCUUCGCUCCCCACCGCAUCGCCUCCUGUACCGUAUCGCCUCCCCCAGCAACAGCGACUACGGCGGUGACAGACUCUGUCGAUGGUGACAGCGACGGUGGCGGCGGUCGGGGACGAGCGCGGCGGAAUUGGACGCGGACGAGGGCGGCUGCGGCGGACGCGGAAGAGGGAGGCGGCAGCGGUCGAGGGCGGCAGUGGACGAGGACGAGGCGGCUGUACUCGACGGUGGCGGCGGCGGACACGGAUGAGGGCGGUGGCAGCGGUCGAGGGCGGCGGUAGUGACGACGACGGCGGCCACGGACAAGGGCAGCAGCACCUUUGCUUCUGUUGCUCGUGCUGCUAUCAUCGGUUCCUCUCUCUUGGAAGCUCGCCCACUCUACUGCUGCAGACACACAGAAUUGGGGGCAGACCUCUGUUGUUCAUCUUAGCUAUUCAAGGAUGGUGUGCUGCAGACGAAGAUUAGGGACAAAGACGAUCCCCGCCUGUCCAAGAUGCGGAAAGAGGUGGUGGCUGGGGGAAAGGAUGCUAUGGAGGUGGACAAUGACUUCUUCCUGGUGCCUGUCAAGAUCUCUGAUCACCAGGGAAACAUGACCGGCCAGCAUGGUGAACGUUUCAGUUGUUUGUUCCCUCUUAAUACUGUAAAACUGUAUGAAACAAAAAAUUUCCCUAUGUUCCUAGAAUGGUACGAUAUGGGUAUUUUUAUUUUCCUUGUCUCCACACACACUAGUAGGAAAAUAUUAAACGGUAGGGAACAUGGGGAUUUUUAGUAGUGAGAUAAAUAUUAUUAAGAAUGCGAAGCCGUGUUUUAUUGUAGAUAAGAUUUCGGUGUUCAAUCAACGAAAACAUCCCAAUUCCUGUAUAGUACCAGACAGAUUAUUGUCUGCAUGAAUACAAGACCAAUAAUUUGAGUGUUGCACACGCGUAAUGAAUGCCAAUAGCAAGCCACUAUUUAUAGUAUGAACGCAUUGCAGCUAACCUUGAAAUAUCGCCGUUUAUGCCAAUCAAGAGUCUAAUAAUACAAUAGAGUGUUGACAACAGAGGAAAUACAGGAGAUCAUUGUCAACCUUUCUAUUCAUCACUGGUAGUACAAGAGUCCAGGACUCCAGGACCAUGAACAUGAUCCUUCUAAUAAUGAACCCUUCAGAGUUCAGACAUCGUAUAUAUUGCCCUCUUCCUUUUAGCUUUUAUCAUUUUCAGAUUUUUGCCAUAGAUUACUUGCUCCACGCUUUUAAAAAUACGAUUUCUAAAAAUCAAUAUCAUCUACUGCAUUAUUAAUUUACCACUUAUUGUAAGCCAGAUGUAAAGUUUACUUAUAUUUUAUCGUGCUAAUCGAGUAAACAAUUUGCCUCAAUAAUUGAUGCAAAAAUCUUUUUUUUAGAACGCAAAAAUCUGUUUGAAACAGGGAGAAAAGCACGCCAUGCAUUCAGGUGCCAUCUUUGUCAGGGGUCAAUCAUAUAAAGAUACACUAAUAUCUGAAGAUCUAUAUAUUCUGAUAUUACAUCGUUGUAGCUGCAGACUUCAUCACAGAACAAAAAGAAAGAUAAGGCUGCAGUAUUCCGAUCAUGUCCAUUUCACUUUUAUAAUGCUAAAAACACGGCAGAAAUCUUCAGAGCCCAUGAUGAACACCAAUGCAAAAAGUUCAAUUCAUAUGGAAAAUAAAAAAUGGAUGGCUAAGACGCUCCAAGGAUACACUUGGUUGAUGCUAUAUAUCUGAACUGAUGUAUGUGGAAGCUGCAGAAUCCUUGAUUGGAUUAGUCAUCACCUAGCUAGUUUAUAUACUCCUAGACGUCCUAGACUAGAUGGAGUUCAAGUGGAAGAUGGCAACAUCAUCCUUAUUCACUGGCUAUAAAUGAAAGUUGCAUUCA